GGGAGUCCAUGACUUGCCUGUUUUAGAAGCCGUGAUGCACUGGUCUCCCCCUGCGGGAGUUGGGAACGUGAAGGUUCCACGAGUCACAGUUUUCAGAUACGGCUGAAAUUGAUAACCCAAGCCAGCAGCUCAGUGACCAGGACCUGAGGUUUGCAGCACAAACGACAAGAGAUUCAAGUAGAAAAGCAGAUAAGAAGCCUGUGCGAUUAAGCUGGCUGGAGUACGGUGGCAUGAUCUGGGCUCACUGCAACCUUCACCUCCCGGGUUC